GGGUGCGAUCAUACCAGCACUAAUGCACCAGAUCCCAUCAGAACACCGCAACUAAGUGUGCUUAGGGAAGAGUAGUACUAGGAUGCGUGACCUUAUAGGAAGUCCUCGAAUUGCACCCC
rnacentral:rRNA from 1 species